GGCGAACGCUGGCGGCGUGCUUAACACAUGCAAGUCGAACGGAAAGGCCCUGCUUUUGUGGGGUGCUCGAGUGGCGAACGGGUGAGUAACACGUGAGUAACCUGCCCUUGACUUUGGGAUAACUUCAGGAAACUGGGGCUAAUACCGGAUAGGAGCUCCUGCUGCAUGGUGGGGGUUGGAAAGUUUCGGCGGUUGGGGAUGGACUCGCGGCUUAUCAGCUUGUUGGUGGGGUAGUGGCUUACCAAGGCUUUGACGGGUAGCCGGCCUGAGAGGGUGACCGGCCACAUUGGGACUGAGAUACGGCCCAGACUCCUACGGGAGGCAGCAGUGGGGAAUAUUGCACAAUGGGCGGAAGCCUGAUGCAGCAACGCCGCGUGCGGGAUGACGGCCUUCGGGUUGUAAACCGUUUUCGCCUGUGACGAAGCGUGAGUGACGGUAAUGGGUAAAGAAGCACCGGCUAACUACGUG
rnacentral:rRNA from 1 species